rnacentral:pre_miRNA from 11 species
GUCUAGGACCACUGGGUGGUCACGCAAAUCCCGGACGAGCCCCCAAAUGAAAGACCCCCGAAGGGAGACCC